GUGGGGAAUAUUGGACAAUGAGCGAAAGCCUGAUCCAGCCAUGCCGCGUGUGUGAAGAAGGUCUUCGGAUUGUAAAGCACUUUAAGUUGGGAGGAAGGGCAGUAAGUUAAUACCUUGCUGUUUUGACGUUACCGACAGAAUAAGCACCGGCUAACUUCGUGCCAGCAGCCGCGGUAAUACGAAGGGUGCAAGCGUUAAUCGGAAUUACUGGGCGUAAAGCGCGCGUAGGUGGUUUUGUAAGUUGGAGGUGAAAUCCCCGGGCUCAACCUGGGAACUGCCUCCAAAACUGCAUGACUAGAGUACGGUAGAGGGUAGUGGAAUUUCCUGUGUAGCGGUGAAAUGCGUAGAUAUAGGAAGGAACACCAGUGGCGAAGGCGACUACCUGGACUGAUACUGACACUGAGGUGCGAAAGCGUGGGGAGCAAACAGGAUUAGAUACCCUAGUAGUCC
rnacentral:rRNA from 1 species